rnacentral:rRNA from 1 species
AUUGAACGCUGGCGGCAGGCCUAACACAUGCAAGUCGAACGAGCGGCGGACGGGUGAGUAAUGUAUGGGGAACUGCCCGAUGGAGGGGGAUAACUACUGGAAACGGUAGCUAAUACCGCAUACUAUCGGAUGUGCCCAGAUGGGAUUAGCUAGUGGGUGGGGUAACGGCUCACCAAGGCGACGAUCCCUAGCUGGUCUGAGAGGAUGACGAGACAAACGGGAAAUGAGACACGGUACAGACUCCUACGGGAGGGAGCAGUGGGGAAUAUUGCACAAUGGGCGCAAGCCUGAUGCAGCCAUGCCGCGGGUAUGAAGAAGGCCUUCGGGUGGUAAAGUACUUUCAGCGGGGAGGCGUUACCCGCAGAAGAAGCACCGGCUAACUCCGUGCCAGCAGCCGCGGUAAUAC